AUGGGGACCUGCAAAUUGUCUCCCAGCUUCUCUGGGAAUGGUGUUACUUGCUCUGAUGUGGACGAGUGUUUGGUUGCCAACGGUGGUUGUGAUGCAAAUGCCCUGUGUAGCAAUACUCCAGGCAGCCGUGACUGCACCUGCACAUCAGGGUUCACUGGGAAUGGCCUAGUUUGCACAGACGUGGACGAGUGUCUGGUAGCUAAUGGAGGGUGCCAUGCAAAUGCAGACUGUACAAAUGAUGUUGGUGGCAGAACUUGCACCUGUCAUCCUGGUUACACCGGUGAUGGACUUCAAUGUACUGAUGUGGACGAGUGCUUGGUUGCCAACGGUGGUUGUGAUGCAAAUGCCCUGUGUAGCAAUACUCCAGGCAGCCGUGACUGCACCUGCACAUCAGGGUUCACUGGGAAUGGCCUAGCUUGCACAGAUGUGGACGAGUGUCUGGUGGCUAAUGGUGGGUGCCAUGCUAAUGCUCAGUGCACCAAUACUGCUGGUAGCAGAACCUGCUCUUGCCUUGCUGGCUAUACUGGUGAUGGACAAGUGUGCACACUCCUCCAGUGUCCUGUUGGCUUUGCUGGUCAAGGUCAAGACUGUGCUCCAGACUCUGACCUUGAUGGCUUCCCAGACACUGAACUGAGCUGUUCGAGCAAAUACUGCCGUAAGGAUAACUGUGUCAACCGACCAAAUUCUGGGCAAGAGGAUGCCGAUGGUGACGGGAUUGGUGAUGCUUGUGAUACUGAUGCUGAUGGAGAUGGACUUCUUGAUACUUCGGAUAACUGUCCACUAAUAGCCAACCCUGGGCAACAAGAUGGAGACUCGGAUACACAUGGAGAUGUAUGUGACAACUGCCCUGUAGUCUCCAACCCCAGCCAGAAUGAUGUUGAUGGGGAUGGUGCAGGCGACAAAUGCGACGAUGAUAUUGACAAUGAUGGCUUGCUAAAUACUGCUGACAACUGUCCAAAGACUGCAAAUGGCAACCAAGCUGAUGGUGAUGGAGAUGGCUUUGGAGACUUGUGUGACAAUUGCCCCCAGCAUAACAAUCCUGGGCAAGAAGAUGCAGAUGAAGAUCUACUAGGGGAUGCAUGUGAUGAUAACAUCGACUCUGACAGUGAUGGUGUGGAGGACAGUGUGGACAAUUGUCCAAAUGUAGCCAAUGGUGACCAGCUGGACGUAGAUGGUGAUGGGUUAGGUGAUGCCUGUGAUUCAGACAGUGACAACGAUGGUAUUGAUGAUACGACUGACAACUGCUUGCUAAUCCCAAAUUCGGACCAGAAGGAUACCGACGGGAAUGGCCGUGGCGACGCUUGCACCUCUGACUUUGAUGGUGACAAAAUUGUAGACUCGGAUGAUAACUGCAUUGCCAACCCAAAUGUGCAUGCCACCGACUUCAGGCAACUCCAAAUGGUGGCACUAGACCCACAAACGGCGUCUACUCCUCCAGUAUGGAUUGUCUACGACAAUGGUGCAGAAAUUCACCAGACGCUGAACUCGGACCCAGCUAUAUCAGUGGGUGACCAUACACUUGUGGAUGUCGACAUUUGAAGGGACCCGUCUCAUAGAGGACACCAGUGUGAUGACUUUGUUGGCUUUAUCUUCAGUAGUAUAGGACUAAAUUAUAAUGGCAUUUCCAAGUUUCUAUGUCAUGAUGUGAAGAAGGGACCACAAAGCUGGUUUGGCCAAGCAAGAGGGAGUUACUCUGAAGCUAUUGCUCUGGCUAUACAUGCCCCUGGUCCGGCACUUCGGGAUGCUUUGUGGCUCACUGGCUCUACAACAAACCAGUGAGCAACCUUGCUCUGUCAUGAUAGCAGUUAUUGGAUGGAACCCUAAAGUUUGCCUACCGCGUGCUGCUUCACCACCGGCCUGAUAUUUGGGUACCAUGAGGUUCUACUUGUACCCAGGUUAAAACCAAGUCAUUGACUCUGGAAACUUAUGACAGCACCUAAAAGGUAGGUUCGGCUAGGUCCCUCUUCUGUCUGCUUCUCCCAGAAGCAAAUUAUAUGGUCCAUGGGGAGUAUUCUUGUUUCAGUAAGGUUUGGUUCUGAAGUCUUCUAUUAG